UACGUAGGGUGCAAGCGUUAAUCGGAAUUACUGGGCGUAAAGCGUGCGCAGGCGGUGAUGUAAGACAGGUGUGAAAUCCCCGGGCUCAACCUGGGAACUGCAUUUGUGACUGUAGAGCUGGAGUACGGCAGAGGGGGAUGGAAUUCCGCGUGUAGCAGUGAAAUGCGUAGAUAUGCGGAGGAACACCGAUGGCGAAGGCAAUCCCCUGGGCCUGUACUGACGCUCAUGCACGAAAGCGUGGGGAGCAAACAGG
rnacentral:rRNA from 1 species